AGAGUUUGAUCCUGGCUCAGAUUGAACGCUAGCGGGAUGCUUUACACAUGCAAGUCGGACGGCAGCACGAAGAGCUUGCUCUUUGGUGGCGAGUGGCGAACGGGUGAGUAAUGUAUCGGAACGUGCCCAGUAGCGGGGGAUAACUACGCGAAAGCGUGGCUAAUACCGCAUACGCCCUACGGGGGAAAGGGGGGGAUCGCAAGACCUCUCACUAUUGGAGCGGCCGAUAUCGGAUUAGCUGGUUGGUGGGGUAAAGGCCUACCAAGGCGACGAUCCGUAGCUGGUUUGAGAGGACGACCAGCCACACUGGGACUGAGACACGGCCCAAACUCCUACGGGAGGCAGCAGUGGGGAAUUUUGGACACUGGGGGCAACCCUGAUCCAGCCAUCCCGCGUGUGCGAUGAAGGGCCCUUCGGGUUGUACAGCACUUUUGGCAGGCAGAAACAGCUGGGAUACUACCUGGGCGACUGACCGUAC
rnacentral:rRNA from 1 species